UACAGAGGGGGGCAAGCGUUGUUCGGAAUUACUGGGCGUAAAGGGCGCGUAGGCGGCCUUCUAAGUCGAACGUGAAAUCCCCGGGCUCAACCCGGGAACUGCGUCCGAUACUGGAAGGCUUGAAUCCGGGAGAGGGAUGCGGAAUUCCAGGUGUAGCGGUGAAAUGCGUAGAUAUCUGGAGGAACACCGGUGGCGAAGGCGGCAUCCUGGACCGGCAUUGACGCUGAGGCGCGAAAGCCAGGGGAGCAAACGGG
rnacentral:rRNA from 1 species